CAGCGACAGCGACAUCUCCACGCGCCAGCAGCGCUCUCAGAAGCCUGGAAAGGCUUCUAUCUGAAAGCAGAUUAAAAAGAUUGCAGUUGUUUUCGUUGGAAAGAGAAUAGCUAAAAGAGCUCAUGAUAGUGACAUUUAUAUGGGUAAUGACCACACACACAUCUAAAACAGAAACAAAAGACGUACUAAAAACUCCAAUGCCGGGAUGAGCCAGAAACCACUCUGAAUAGGGGAGCGAAAUGCUGUGGGGAGCGAGUCCUCUGCAACUGCCUGUGUUGGGUUUCCUCUGCCUGCUCUUGGAAUGUCUUGUCCUGGCUACUGCUGGGAAACGCAGCACCCCAUAGAGACCUGCCGGGCUGCUCCGAGUGCUUUGUUAGGAUGGGCCAUCGUGUUUCCAAAUUCUAUGCGAUCAUGCUGCUUUGUCGAACAAAAAUGGUACACUUAGGUAUCCAGCUGUGGGAAUACUGAAAAUCCCAGCUUCCCUACCCAGUUUAACUACUCCCAGAGGCUACUUAAAUCUUAACCAUGGGAGAAGAAUUUUAAGUUUUUAUUGUUAUUUUUAAAGCACUGCUUGUCCCCACUCACACUCUUGCAUUCCUGUUUUUCCUGUGUGUGAGCUCAACAGGGUUGGUGCCUCGAAACCUUUGAGAUGAGUGUUCAAGGGUGGAGAGGUCCCCUGCCAGGCCAGAGGGGUGCAGGCCCUGCUCCAGCUGGGAAUGCCGAGCAGCGCUGGAGCUGCCAGCUCGCUGUUCCCGCUGGGCACGGCUGCCCGGUGCUGGAGCUCAGCAAACAUUGCUGGCUCUGGGCAGCUGUAUCCUAGGAGCAGGAACCUGAGCCAAAACCCUGACAGCUCCGGGGAACACUUGAGCAUCGCUGCCUUCUCUGCACCAAAACAGUUUCACAGAGUUGAGCAGUUCACCAUAAAAAUCUGCUGUGUUCUGCUUGAGCUCUCCCAAUAAGGAAUUUAGUAUGUUUCCUGGAAGUUAAGGCACAGUUUUCAGCUAGGAAAGAACUUUGCUCAGCAGAAAAAUCUGGCCAACAUGGAAAUCUGUGUCCUUAAAAUAUUCAUCACAAUCCCUACAGCUCAAACUGGUCCCUAAAAUAUUACCCUGUGUGUGUGUGUGCAUGAGUGAAUGUGCUCUGGCACACUCAAGGGGAGAUUUUCAUCAGCCAAACCGUCCAGUCUCCAGUGCUGUGGUUUUAAUUCUCUCCUGAGUAUCUUCCUACUAAUUAGGUUGCUGUGAUACUCAGGUUGUUAAAAGAGGAGAAAUCAUUCCUGAUACAAAUUAAACAGAUAAUGCAUUAGAGCCUAAAAGGUGAUGCCUUCUGUGUGGAAGAUGAAACACUGAAAGACUUACAGCAGGAACUCAGCUGGAUACACUAAAAUUCCCAGGCAGCAGCUCAGGCAUGUGUGUUUCAAUAACUAAUAGCCUGCACAUUUCCUGUUAAUACUGUACUACAACCACAGUUUGCUUUGGUUUGGAAAGUAAUAAUAAAUAUAUACCAUAUAUUUUACCUUAAUUGUAACUUGCAUAAUCCAGUAAAUUUGCAGGUCCUUUGGGGCCUUUUAAUAUAUAUCUGUGCCUAUAUAUAGCUAUAUAUAAAGAGAUAUAAAUACUCUCACAGGCAUGAAAAAAAAAUCCGUAUCCUUCCUUAAUUCAUUACAUUUGAGGGCUCCUGGCUCUGUGGAGUAUUUCUGUUGAGGGCCAUACAAGGGUGUGAUGGGGGAGCCUCCUCUCCACCCUGUCCAAGACACAGGAGCAACAGGACAUGCACCACCGAGAGAAGGAGCUUGGCUGGAAACAAAAGGAACAUUUUGCUCACACAGCAUGCCGUGGCCUGUGCCAUUCACAGCCACAGGAGCCACAGAAUCAAACAAAAUACCUAUUUCUUUAUGAAGGAACUGAAUAAUUUAAUGGCCAAAACCAACAUUUCCAUGCUAAGUGAGGGGUAAUCACAUCUUGUGCUUCAGGAGGUAAAGUGAUCACCCAUGGAGGCAGAGAGGAAUUCUGCUCUCUUCACUCACCACAGCUCGGGGUGACUGACCACGUACUGGGGGCCUUUUCCAGCUCCCCCUGAAGCACCACUGCAGGAUGGUGCUGGAGAUGGAAUUCCUGUCUGAGGUGGGAUUGCAGGGCCAACACUUCCUCUGAGGAGGCAUCAGCAGGCAAGAAGGAGAAGGACUACUCAGAAAAAUCCUAUGUGAUUCACACACACAGCCAAAAGGAGACUUUGGGAAUAACUGAGCCUAACUCAGUAAUCACCUUGUCUGAGGCACUGUGCACAUUUCUGCACCAACACUGCCUGAAAACGCCCAGCUCCACAGCCCUUCCCAUAGGAACUCCCACAGUCAACUGGGAUUCCACCCACAAAGAAUCAUGAAACCAAGUGCCAGGCAUGGACAACAAACCAGUUCCUCAGCUCUACUGGAAAGCAUUUAUCACGUCAGUGGAAUACUCAAAUCUUGGUCCUAACCAAGGACUUUUUAAAAGGGAAAAUUAAAAAGUCAAAACAUAGAAAAGACUGAUCUUCCUCUCACUUUCUAAGUGCAUACCCUAGGAAUCUUACAGAGAAAUACCACUAAAACUUUUCAUAAACUUCCUUGUUCCUUGACCAUGCCUUAACAAUAGAUUUUGGAUGGUGGAAGUUUGUAUUAAAUUGUAAGUAAGGCCUGUGUGAGGGAGCUACCUGUGUAUGCUAUGAGCUAGCAGUGAGCUACAGAAAACACACCUAAAGGCUGCAAGCACCACGACUUUGCUUAGAAUUAUUGAUCCUGUCUGCACUCUCAGCCUCCCCAAGCAGGCAGGGGUGUUUAAGGAUCUCUGUAUUCUCCCAAUGCACACCAAAUGUCCUGUUCCAGUAUCAGUGCAACAUAAAGAACCAAAAAAAUAAAUACAGAUGGACAUGGAUUGUUCUGAGAUUUCCACCACAGUGUCUGGAUAGGUUUUUUCUAUAUAUCCACAGUGCUUAGUCUGAGGAAGAAAUAGAUUACCCCUCUGCUUUAGUCUUUGUUCAAUACCAGUUCCAGGACAAAUUAACAGAAUAAGAAAUUAUAAAGCUUCUUUAAGAUAAGAGGGCUUGACUAGACCUUGACUGCCAAACACUACAUACAGUAUACUUAGUAAAUACUGAGUGGAACUGAAAAUUGAAAAAUAAUAAAAAUGAAUUUAAAAUAAGAUUUUUGAAUUAUAAAUACGAAUGAAGCAUAACUGCAAAUGGAAAUAAGUAAGACAGGGAUGUUUCCAAUAUGAAAUCUGUCUGGGUUUGUUUUUUUUAAUGGUGUGAUGGCUUGAUUGGCAGAUUCCUCAGCUAGACAAAGAACCUCAACCCAUAUCCCAUUGAGUUCAGUGGAAACGGGACCAAAUCCAGGCUGAAAAACAUCUGUCCUUUAUGUCAAAUCAUUUUUUGUAUAUUUUGGGUUAUGAGACCGUUCUGUAACAGUUCCACGCACAGCAGUACAGCCAGAUCGAACAAUCGUGACUUUUGAGAAUCAUGAUUUAACUCAGAUUAACAUGAAGAAAAAUAGCAAAUAAAGCAGCAGAGUAAGAAGCACAAACCAAAGCAGCUCCACAUUUUAUCUGAAGUGCAGCACUGUAGCCUCUUACAGGAACUGAGAGUUUCCAUGAGAUGAGGUUCUCCUAUAAAACCCAGCACACCAACCCGUUCAUUCAUAAAAUCUCUCCCCCAAGCACCACAGUCACUGAUAUUGUGAGAAAGUCCAAUUCAGUUCCAGGACCAGGAGAUUAUUUUUUUUUAAUGGGGAAAAAAGUUAACACGGAUUUUCAUCUCUUCCCAUAAUAUUAAAAAUGAUGUGUAAAGCUCUGCUAAUCAGGUCCCUGGACAGAGCCCAAUCUCUGGCCACGUGUUUCUGUUCUGGGUCUUGCCCUACGGGAAUUUCUGUCAGCACAUGCUCAGGAAACAGUUACACUGUUUGCUCUUUUGGACUUUUUUGUAAGACAGACUCUAUCUGAAGUUUGGUGAACCUUUGCACUAAUCACUGCCAGGUGCCUCUGACUACAUUUCUGGAAUGCAAGGAAUCUUUUCCUUCUCUCCCUCUUUCUUCCUUUCUCCUCUUCCCCCCCUCUCUCUGAUAUAUAAUAAAUCCUUCAGCACAGAUCACCUUGCUGGGCAUCAUUGCAUUUCUUACCUUUUCCUAUAAACACUGAGCACCCAAGUCCCAGGGCUGUGACACGGGGCUGUGACUCCAGGGUACCACAAGGUACUCCAAGGUCCAACACCUUGUCUCUGGUUUUCCCACGAGCACGGCCAGAGGCUCUGUCCCUGCUCUGCUGCAGCUGCAGCCUGUGACACACCUGUGUGUGACAUCCUGAAAGUGCUGCCGAGGCAAUGGCAGCCUUCUGGCUUUUAGACAAAUACAAAAUACUAAUUUUCACUCAAAAUACUGCCUUGGAUUACCUGGAUCCUGUUCUGCACCUUCACUCACCCACACUGAGCCAAGUCCACAAGUGCAGGAGCUGCUCAGCUCUAAGGACUUAGAGGGGCUUCAUAAAUAUUAUGAAGAACACUAUCCACAGGAACUUUCAUGUGACUGGAGAGUCACAGAUAAUUUAAUUGCUUUAGAAUAAUUUUAGUGAUACCAAUAACAGUGAUACGAAAGCAAUUUCAUGUUCAGAAUCACAAAGAAGUCCUCAGAGUCCUCUCCUGGUUCACUCAGGGGUUUUCUGUGUGGGGCUGCUCUUGGGCCCAGAGGGGCUUCCUGAAAUACUGAAAUACUCCCUGUCUGCUCUUCCAAACACAUGUGCACAUCUGAGCGGGCACAGAACGUAACUCAGUGUUUGUCACACAUUUCAUCAUCUGCACAAGCUCACAAAACACACACACUUAUUCUGUGUCAAAUGAGCAUCUCUACAUUUGUUCUGACCUGAGAUGUGCAACUUCUGCACGGCAGUUCCUCACAGGGAUCAUUAUGGGAACUGUGCCAUUCCAAAGGAUGUUUCUAUUUAUAAGGGUUUGUUUAAUAACCUCUGAAAUGAAGCUGAUGAAUCGCUGCAGUGGAAGUCACUACAUGAGGGAGAUUUGAAAAAUUAUUCUAGCUUACAAUCUAGCAGAAAAAGGUAUUUUGGAGUGAAAGAAAAGCCUUAUUAAUAUGGUCAAAGAAAUAUAAAAGCAUGUUUAAAUAAAGGGCAGUGCCUUAGGUUCAAGUGAUUGCCAGGAAGUCAAUUACAAAGACAUGUAAUCAAACACAGAGACUGUCCGCUCCAGAUUAUCUGGCAUGUGCUGCAUGCUUGACUGAUCUAUCCUAAUUCAGUCAUUUAAGGACAUCAUUCUCUGGCAAACAGGCAGCAAGGUGCUUCCAGGUGGGCUCUGUACAGGUACUGAUGUCUGCUGUCUUCAGGUUUGUAGAACACACUAUCCAAUAGCGGGAGAGGUUAAAAUUGCUUCAUUAUUUGUUACACCAUGUUAAACUCCUGUGUUUGGUGCAUACAGUUUGCAUCAAACUGCAGCAGUUUUGCUUAAAAACUGAACAUAAUUUGGACAAAAAGCAAAAAAAAAGCUUUACAGACGUUAGGUGUAAAUUUAACUACAGAUAAAUCCAGUAAUGACUAAAAUCAUUAAUGUAGUGCAGAAGAGCUCUGGCUGAAUUAAUCUUAAAUGCUUUCUGAGUUACUCUGACCAUCUCCUUUAACUUCCCCCCGUCUCCUGUAACUCUCUGAUUUCUCACUCAGUUUUCCUUACAGUGUCUCCUCUGGGCAGGCACCUUGGCCCUUACUUUGAGAGGCACUGGGGAGACUCUCAGGAUCCUGAGUGUCAGUCCAGUCCUCUCAGAAACUCAAAUGAAACACUUGCCCACCUAUUUCUGCUGAUGGACAAACAGUAUUUACCCCAGCAUCCAGCACCAGGUCAUCCUGAAGCAUGUAACUGUUGAAGUCAUUUCCACUCAGAACUCUUGAGAAGUUGAUACCAACAGACAACUGCCUUUGCUGAGUUAUAACCAAAAAUGAGCAAGUGCCUUUUCAUUUGAGGAAAAAAAGUCAAAGGAUCAAGUAUUCAUAAAGUUAUCACGGAAAAAUGAGACAAGAAAUCUGAAGAUGAUUUCAAACCACUGGAGGAGUGCAGAUUUAGACUGGUCUACCAAAUAAGGUGUGGGAGGCAAGUUACUAACAUUAUUUUAAGAUAGAUUUGAUAAGUCUAUACAAGGCUUUGUACAUGCACACAGGAAAAUUCCUCAAGGCAGGAGAUUAAGCGAUAUGAACCCCUGGAUAUUGAUGUCUUGGUGCAUCCAAGCAGCUGGAGUUUGCAGCUGCUGUUAACAAAUUUGUCCUGGAUUGAUUCUGUGCUCCAGGCCUCCUGCUGCUGAUGCAGGAAACACUUUGUGCCCUCUCACACAAAGUUUGGAUUUGGGUUUUUUCCCCACCUUGCUCUAUAGAAAUGGAACAAGGCCUCAGGAGGUGACAAGGUGUAACAGUGGGACUGUCCCUAGAUGUAAAGGAUGGUGACAUGUUAAUGAAUUCAGCUCAGUACAGAGCUGAACAAAUGACACCCAGGUUUGGUAUUAGGAAGUAAAUCCCUCCUUGUUUCUCUGAAGUAUGCCAGAAACCAUAAAGGAAGGAAAAAUGGGGAAGUUCUCUUCUUUGGAAUAGGGAGCACAGUUGUUUUCCACAAUGUGCUGAGAAUCUCACGUAAGAAACCUUCCUGUUGCAAAGAUCUUGCAAUUGCAGGAGACUCUGGUGGCACAGUCACCCUCUUUUUGUGGCCAAUUACUGCUGUGGCCUUCUGACUCUUACUCUCAUUACACAUAAUUAAUUACAUAGAAUUAAUUAAUUACUCCAUGGCACUAUGACUCUUACUCUCAUUACAAGCUAAAGGUAAAUCUAGGGAAGUGUUGGGAAUUUUGUGAUCUGUGGGACACACAUACAGAGCACAUCCUGUGGAACCUUCUAAAGCUGAGAGCUGCAGGGAAACCACAGGGCCUGGUAAUACAAAGCUGGGAUGGUAAACUAGGCAGUGGCCAGGCUACACAAAACUUUUGAGUGGAGUUGGUAUGUGCACAGAUUUGAUUCCAGGGACUCCUGGGUGGUGCUGGGCCUGUGUCUCUCCCAGGCACAAAGCUCACCAUGCAAUGAGGGAUCCAUGAGUAUCUGACACAGUGUGCAGAGCUCUGGCCACUGACGUGCUGGGAGCUGCUACUCAGACUGCACACAUCUGGCAGAGAGGAGGGUUACAGGGACAAUCUGGGGUCACACAGCUGUCCUGGGAAAGGGGACUCUGCCAUCAAACUGCUGAAAACUCUACAAGAGGAGCAGCAGGAGGGAAGGGGGCAUGGCUGACACAAGGACAUCUCUUAUUUUCCAAGUCCUCUUUUCCUACAUUUCCACUGUACCCUGGCUUAGUUUCAUUUGUGUUUUAGAUGAUCUGCCAACUUGUACUUUAGUAAAUACCAUCAGUCAGUGCUGACUGCAGAGACUCAGUGCAUGGACAUUUUAUGUGAAUGACAGCACAAUUUGGGCUUGUGUAUAAAAGAGGAACAGGAAAAUAAAUGCUUGGAAGGAAAGCAUGGGGCAAACUGAACUUAGAGGGUAGCAGCCUUUGAAAGUACACAUAUAUGAAGUGGUCUGGUUAACAACAGUGAUUAAAGAACAGGAAAAUCAGCUCCAUUUAAGUUUUUUUCUGUGAUAUUACAAAAAACUGAUCUGAAAAUAUAUGAAUUAGAGGUAAAUGAAAAACGACUGCAUUGAGGAGCUCUGGGGAUGUGUCACUCCUUGCCUGCUCUUACCUUCUUACGCACCUGCUGCUCUUUGGCCGAGUGAGCCUUGACGUGCUUGCGCAGGGA